rnacentral:rRNA from 1 species
AUUGAACGCUGGCGGCAUGCCUUACACAUGCAAGUCGAACGGCAGCGGACCUUCGGGUGCCGGCGAGUGGCGAACGGGUGAGUAAUAUAUCGGAACGUACCUUUCAGUGGGGGAUAACGUAGCGAAAGUUACGCUAAUACCGCAUAUUCUGUGAGCAGGAAAGCAGGGGAUCGCAAGACCUUGCGCUGAUUGAGCGGCCGAUAUCAGAUUAGCUAGUUGGUGAGGUAAAGGCUCACCAAGGCGACGAUCUGUAGCGGGUCUGAGAGGAUGAUCCGCCACACUGGAACUGAGACACGGUCCAGACUCCUACGGGAGGCAGCAGUGGGGAAUUUUGGACAAUGGGCGCAAGCCUGAUCCAGCCAUGCCGCGUGAGUGAAGAAGGCCUCGGUUGUAAGACUCUUUCGGUCCGGGUAAGGAAAGUACGCACGGGUUAAGUACCCUACGUGUGGUAGUGACGGUACCGGAACGUAAGAAGAC